ACAUGGCCCAAUUCUGUGAAGUGACUGUCGGCCCAUUACAUGUGGAAGAGCCACGAGCAGAGCAACUGUUCAGUUUGAAACCAGCAGGACGGCGCGAAACUGUCUCGUUUUGGACACUGCCUGUGAAUCCAGGCCACACUGACCAGAGACCUGCCUGCACUCCUUUGGAUGAAGAAGGCUACCCGUGUAUACAUGUGUGAACCAUUUCUUGUGUUGGAAAAACAGGAGACCUGAAGAGCUCUUGAUGCUUUUGGUUUGCCUCAUCCAUUAUGUCAGCAAAGAACAGGAGUGGGCAGGAAACAUGCGCUGUUGAAAACAUGGCCAACCAACUGGAGC